rnacentral:rRNA from 1 species
CGCUGGCGGCGUGCCUAAUACAUGCAAGUCGAACGGUCUUUCUAUGGAAGCUUGCUUCCACUGAGAAGAUAGUGGCGAACGGGUGAGUAACACGUGGGUAACCUGCCCAUAAGAGGGGGGAUAACAUCCGGAAACGGGUGCUAAUACCGCAUAGUUUUCUUGAUCGCAUGAUCGGAAAGGAAAGACGGCCUUUGUGCUGUCGCUUAUGGAUGGACCCGCGGCGUAUUAGUUAGUUGGUGAGGUAAUGGCUCACCAAGACGAUGAUACGUAGCCGACCUGAGAGGGUGAUCGGCCACAUUGGGACUGAGACACGGCCCAAACUCCUACGGGAGGCAGCAGUAGGGAAUCUUCCGCAAUGGACGAAAGUCUGACGGAACAACGCCGCGUGAGUGAAGAAAAGGUUUUCGGAUCGUAAAACUCUGUUGUCAGAGAAGAACAAGUUGGAGAGUAACUGCUCCAGCCUUGACGGUAUCUGACCAGAAAGCCACGGCUAACUACGUGCCAGCCGCAGC